AGCAAGAAGGUGAAGAGGAACAAAACAAACCCCACGUUAUCUAUAGGCGCAGCACCCCUCACAGAGAGCCCUCAACAGGAAGGCGUGCGUGUGACACCUCAGCUGCUUCUGCACCCCUUCUUUGAAUUCAGAUGCAGGCGGCUCAGAACAGUUGGAGAGAACUUUGGAAUGUGGCACAGUUCACCAGCAGCCAUUAGAGGGAUGGACCAGCAGGUCACGGAAACCUCCAAAACCAGAACACAAAAAUAGUCACAGUAAGGACAAGAGGAAAACGAGGACGAGAAAAUGGGGAGAGAGGAGUAGCCUGGCUGAUGACGUGGCAGUAUUAAGAAGCAGCCUAACCAAAAGGGCCCUUUCUGCCUAUGGUAACAAGACGGACAGCACAAGGGAAAAGAGGACCCACAGGAGAACAAAACGUUUUUUAUCCUAUCCACGGUUUGUAGAAGUGAUGGUGGUGGCAGACAACAGAAUGGUUUUAUACCACGGAGCAAACCUUCAACACUAUAUUUUAACUUUAAUGUCAAUUGUAGCCUCUAUCUAUAAAGACCCAAGUAUUGGAAAUUUAAUUAAUAUUGUAAUUGUGAACUUAGUUGUGAUUCAUAAUGAACAGGAAGGACCUUCCAUAUCUUUUAAUGCCCAGACAACGUUAAAAAACUUUUGCCAGUGGCAGCAUUCAAAGAACCAUCCAGGUGGAAUCCAGCAUGAUACAGCAGUUCUUGUAACGAGACAGGAUAUCUGCAGAGCUCAUGACAAAUGUGAUACCUUAGGUCUGGCUGAACUGGGAACCAUUUGUGAUCCCUAUAGAAGCUGCUCUAUCAGUGAAGACAGUGGAUUGAGUACAGCUUUUACGAUAGCCCAUGAACUGGGCCAUGUGUUCAACAUGCCUCAUGAUGACAACAAUAAGUGCAAAGAAGAAGCAGUUAAGAGUCCCCAGCAUGUCAUGGCCCCAACACUGAACUUCUACACCAACCCCUGGAUGUGGUCAAAGUGUAGCCGAAAAUACAUCACUGAAUUUUUAGACACUGGUUACGGCGAGUGUCUGCUUAACGAACCUGAAUCCAGACCCUAUCCUUUGCCUCUCCAACUGCCAGGCCUCCUUUACAACGUGAAUAAACAAUGUGAAUUGAUUUUUGGACCAGGUUCUCAGGUGUGCCCGUAUAUGAUGCAGUGUAGACGGCUCUGGUGCAAUAACGUGGAUGGAGCGCACAAAGGCUGCCGGACUCAGCACACGCCCUGGGCUGAUGGGACCGAGUGUGAGCCUGGAAAGCACUGCAAGUUUGGAUUUUGUGUUCCCAAAGAAAUGGAGGUCCCUGUGACUGAUGGAUCCUGGGGAAGUUGGAGUCACUUUGGAACCUGCUCAAGAACAUGUGGAGGGGGUAUCAAAACAGCUGUUCGAGAGUGCAACAGACCAGAGCCAAAAAAUGGCGGGAAGUACUGCGUAGGGCGCAGAAUGAAAUUUAAGUCCUGCAACACGGAGCCAUGUCCCAAGCAGAAGCGAGACUUCCGAGACGAACAGUGUGCUCACUUUGAUGGAAAGCAUUUCAACAUCAAUGGUCUGCUUCCGAACGUGCGCUGGGUCCCGAAGUACAGUGGAAGUAAGUGCAUCUGGAGACGUGCUCGUGGCUGGCAGGCUGGCACGGGGUCCAGGCACAAAAGUCACGUUGCAUGGUGUCUCUCCUGUCUAGUUUUGAUGAAGGACCGCUGCAAGCUGUUCUGCAGGGUGGCGGGGAACACGGCCUACUAUCAGCUCCGUGACAGAGUGGUAGAUGGAACUCCAUGUGGCCAGGACACCAAUGACAUCUGUGUCCAAGGCCUUUGCCGGCAAGCUGGAUGCGAUCAUGUUUUAAACUCAAAAGCCCGGAGAGAUAAAUGUGGGGUUUGUGGUGGCGAUAAUUCUUCGUGCAAAACAGUGGCAGGAACAUUUAAUACAGUACAUUAUGGUUACAAUAUUGUGGUCCGAAUUCCAGCUGGUGCUACCAAUAUCGAUGUGCGGCAGCACAGUUUCUCAGGGAAAUCAGAGGAUGAUAACUACUUAGCUUUAUCAAGCAGUAAAGGUGAAUUCUUGCUAAAUGGAGACUUUGUUGUCACAAUGUCCAAAAGGGAAAUCCGGGUUGGGAAUGCCGUGAUAGAGUACAGCGGGUCCGACAACGUAGUGGAAAGAAUCAACUCCACAGAUCGCAUUGAACAAGAACUUUUGCUUCAGGUGUUGUCCGUGGGAAAGUUAUACAACCCUGAUGUGCGCUAUUCUUUCAACAUUCCAAUUGAAGACAAACCCCAGCAGUUUUACUGGAACAGUCAUGGACCCUGGCAAGCAUGCAGCAAACCCUGCCAAGGGGAGCGGAAACGAAAACCUGUUUGUACCAGGGAAUCUGAUCAGCUUACAGUUUCUGAUCAAAGAUGUGAUCGGCUGCCCCAGCCAGCACCCAUUACUGAACCCUGCGGCACAGACUGUGACCUGAGGUGGCAUGUGGCUAGCAGGAGUGAAUGUAGUGCCCAGUGUGGCUUGGGUUACCGCACAUUAGGCAUCUACUGUGCCAGAUACAGCAGGCUAGAUGGGAAGACCGAGAAGGUUGAUGACAGUUUUUGCAGCAGUCACCCCAAACCAAGCAACCGGGAAAAAUGCUCAGGAGAAUGUAACACUGGUGGCUGGCGCUAUUCUGCUUGGACUGAAUGUUCUAAAAGCUGUGAUGGUGGAAGCCAGAGGAGAAGGGCUAUUUGUGUCAACACCCGUAAUGACGUACUUGAUGAUAGCAAAUGCACGCAUCAAGAGAAAGUCACCAUUCAGAAGUGCAACGAGUUCCCUUGUCCACAGUGGAAAUCAGGAGACUGGUCAGAGUGCUUGGUCACCUGCGGAAAAGGGCAUAAGCACCGCCAGGUCUGGUGUCAGUUUGGCGAAGAUCGAUUAAACGAUAGAAUCUGUGACUCUGAGACCAAGCCAGCCUCCAUGCAGACCUGUCAGCAGCCAGAAUGUGCGUCCUGGCAGGCAGGUCCCUGGGGACAGUGCAGUGUCACUUGUGGACAGGGAUACCAGCUAAGAGCAGUGAAAUGCAUCAUUGGGACAUACAUGUCAGUGGUGGAUGACAAUGACUGCAAUGCAGCAACUAGACCAACUGAUACCCAGGACUGUGAAUUACCAUCUUGUCACCCUCCCCCCGCUGCCCCGGAAGCAAGGAGAAGCACACACAGUGCUCCAAGGACCCAGUGGCGAUUUGGGUCUUGGACGCCAUGCUCAGCCACUUGUGGAAAAGGUACCCGGAUGAGAUAUGUCAGCUGUCGGGACGAGGAUGGCUCUGUGGCUGACGAGAGUGCCUGUGCAACCCUCCCUAGACCAGUGGCAAAGGAGGAAUGUUCUGUGACCCCCUGUGGGCGGUGGAAGGCUCUGGACUGGAACCCGUGCUCCGUGACGUGUGGGCAAGGGAGGACCACCCGGCAAGUGGUCUGUGUCAACUACAGUGACCACGUGAUCGAUCAAAUCGAGUGUGACCCGGAUUAUAUCCCAGAAACCGACCAGGACUGUUCCAUGUCACCAUGCCCUCAGCGGACCCCAGACAGUGGCCUCGCUCAGCACCCUUUCCAAAACGAGGGUUAUCGCCCCAGGAGCGUCAGCCCUAGCCGCACCCACGUUCUCGGAGGAAACCAGUGGAGGACUGGCCCCUGGGGAGCAUGUUCCAGUACCUGUGCUGGUGGGUCCCAGCGGCGUGUUGUUGUGUGUCAGGAUGAAAAUGGAUACACCGCCAAUGACUGCGUGGAAAGAAUCAAACCCGAUGAGCAGAGAUCCUGUGAAUCUGGCCCUUGCCCUCAGUGGGCUUAUGGCAGCUGGGGAGAGUGUACUAAGCUGUGCGGUGGAGGCUUGCGGACAAGACUGGUGGUCUGUCAGCGGCCCAGCGGGGAACGGUUUCUAGAUCUGAGCUGUGAAAUUCUUGACAAGCCGCCAGAUCGAGAGCAAUGUAACACACAUGCUUGUCCUCAAGACGCUGCAUGGAGUACUGGCCCUUGGAGUUCGUGUUCUGUCUCUUGUGGUCGAGGGCAUAAACAACGAAAUGUUUACUGCAUGGCAAAAGAUGGAAGUCAUUUAGAAAGUGAUUACUGUAAACACCUUGCUAAGCCAAAUGGGCACAGAAAGUGCCGAGGAGGAAGAUGCCCCAAGUGGAAGGCUGGCGCGUGGAGUCAGUGCUCAGUGUCCUGUGGCCAAGGCGUGCGGCGGAGAAAUGUGGGCUGUCAGCUGGGAACACACAAAAUAGCCGGAGAGACCGAGUGCAACCCAUACACUAGACCGGAGUCAGAGCGCGCCUGCCAAGCCCCGCUGUGUCCACUCUACGCUUGGAGGGCAGAUGAAUGGCAAGAAUGCACCAAGACUUGUGGGAAAGGCUCCAGGUACCGCAAGGUGGUGUGUGUGGGUGAGGACAAAGGUGACGAGGUUCACGGCAUGCACUGUGACAUGAGCACACGGCCUGUGGAUCGCGAGAGCUGUGGCUUGCAGCCCUGCGAGUAUGUCUGGAUCACAGGAGAAUGGUCAGAGUGCUCAGUGACCUGUGGAAAGGGCUACAAACAAAGGCUUGUCUCCUGUAGCGAGAUUUACACCGGGAAGGAGAAUUAUGAGUACAGCUAUCAAACCACCAUCAACUGCCCGGGCGCACAGCCACCCAGCGUCCAGCCCUGCUACCUGCGGGAGUGCCCUGUCUCUGCCACCUGGAGAGUUGGCAACUGGGGGAGCUGUUCCGUGUCCUGUGGCGUCGGAGUGAUGCAGAGAUCUGUGCAGUGUCUCACCAACGAGGACCAGCCCAGCCACUUAUGCCCUGAUGAGUUGAAGCCGGAAGAAAGAAAAACCUGCCACAAUAUCUAUAACUGCGAGUUGCCCCAGAACUGCAAGGAAGUAAAAAGGCUGAAAGGUGCCGGUGAAGAUGGGGAAUAUUUCCUGAUCGUCACGGGAAAGCUCCUGAAGGUCUUCUGUGCAGGGAUGCACUCUGACCGCCCCAAGGAGUACAUGACACUGGUCCACGGUGACUCUGAGAAUUUUUCUGAGGUUUACGGGCACAGGUUGCACAACCCAACCGAAUGUCCCUACAACGGGAGCCGACGUGAUGACUGUCAGUGUCGGAAAGACUACACGGCGGCUGGGUUUUCCAGCUUCCAGAAGAUCAGAAUAGACCUGACCACCAUGCAGAUCAUCACCACUGACUUACAGUUUGCCAGGACACGCGAAGGACAUCCCGUCCCUUUUGCCACCGCCGGGGACUGCUACAGCGCCGCCAAGUGCCCUCAGGGUCGUUUUAGCAUCAACCUUUACGGAACCGGCCUGUCUCUAACUGAAUCUGCCAGAUGGAUCUCCCAAGGGAAUUAUGCCGUCUCUGACAUUAAGAAGUCGCCGGAUGGUACCCGGGUCGUAGGGAAAUGCGGUGGUUACUGUGGAAAAUGUGCUCCAUCCUCUGGCACUGGCCUGGAGGUUCGAGUUUUAUAGUCACGGUGCUCUGAAGAGGAAGCCAUUAUGGGAUGGAUGAAGGAUAGUGAUGAAAUACCUCCACCUUAAAAUUUGGGUGUAUGUGUGUGAGCGUGUAUGUGUGUGAGGACUUGUAUGCCUGUGUGUGUGUGUACAUAUGCAUAUAUAUAUACGUAUAUACACACAUAUAUACACAUGUAUAUAUGUGUGUGUAUAUAAAUGUGGAAUAUCCUUAUGAUGUAAAGUUUAAUAUUUAUGUUUGAAAUUAUUUAUUGUGAUGUAAUAUUUUUGUACGUAAAAUGAUUCUUUUAUGACUGCCUUUCACGUUAUUUUGUCCCCUGCAGUCAGACCACUGCAUUUUACGUACUCUACAUUAUAUGUAGUACUUUGACAAAAGUGAUCCUUCAUUAUCACGGUACACUAUUGUUUACUUUCUAUCUGUAAAUGUUUUAUUGUUACUUUUUUAAAGCCGUAAUUUUUUUAAAAAAAAACAACCUAGCCGCCAUCAAGGUGCUACAAGAAUCGUAUGAGGAUAUUUUUGGCAUUUCUAGGAACGUAUCAUUAGCCAAUCAGUAAUUCAGUGAUGUCACAGUUUGUACCAGCUAUUAAUUAUGUUAAAUAUCUAUUCAGUUUCAUGUGAUCCCUGGGAAAAGAGUGGCUGCCUUGGUGCUAAUGUUGUAUGUAUUUAAGUGAUCAUCAGACUCAGAAAUGUAAACGCUUUUAAUAAAAGGGAGACGCUAAAGGACAACUUCCAGUGGACAGGAUCACUUGGAAGAAAUAAGACCAACUGUUUACCCCUGUUUUUGGACAUGCCUUUUUGGGAAGAGAGUUGGACUUUGUUCUUGUUGUUGUUAUUCUUAUCAAUACUUUACUUCAGUUCAUGGUGCCUUGGUCUCUCUGUGGUUAAAUGGAGGGUCCCCCAAGCAGCUUCAUUACAGAGUGAUAUUAAGCAAAUGAGAGCCGCUCAGCGUUUUGCCAAGAUUCUGAAAUGGUGUCUGUGUUAACAAUUGCGACAGAGGAUGCACGGGGUGGGGGUGACCUUCGACACCUCAGCACACCUGGAGAAACUCAGAACCGGAUUCUUAGUCAUCAGGAUUGACUUUUGUAUGAAAAUAUUAGCUGGUGACUUGACGCCUUUGAGCCCUGAGCCUGAAACCCUGCCAGUGUCCAUGGCUGCUGCAGUAAUUGGUGGCAUUUAUGAGAAGAAAUGAACUGUGGAGUACAAGAUGCCUGAGUCUUUCUCAUUGCCCAUUAAUCUUUGGAUUCCAUUCAUCUUUGGAAGUCCUGUUUUUUUCUCCUUUCCAAAAUGGAAGUGCCAAAGCCGUGGUCUUUCUGCCCUUCCAGCCUGAUUGAAGAAAGGUCACGGCCCAUGUCAGACACUCGAUUUGAGGAGCCCUCCCAUUUCCAAAAACCAAAGAGAUUAGGAGAAACCUGGCAGCAUUCCCCGAAGCCAAACAAACUCCAGAGUGCUCCAGGAAGUUAUAUCAAUAUAUGAAUAAGUGUUAUCCUCCAUUAUUAAUACAGUGUGAAAAUAUACUAUGAAUAAAUACCAUGACCACAUCCAAACAUUUGUGUUUCACAUGGUUUCUGGACUCUUGAUUCAAAUUGGAAUGAACAUAUCUCUAGUUUUUAAGAUUUCCAGAUUGAGAAGAAAUGCAGACUUUCUUAAUCCCAUUGAUUGUGUUUGUCAUUCUGGAGACAGAUAAAGAAUGGGGACUGUCCCCAAGAGACUGACGGUGUCCUGGGAAUUGAGAGCUUUCCAAAGAAAUCUAAUGAACAGCUAAUAGCCAGAUACAGACAAUCCAGUGAAGGACCCUGAAGUUUAGAGCAAGCUGUCCCAUAGAACUUUCUGGAAUGAUGGAAGUCUUCUAUUCUGCACCAGGACAGUAGCUUCUAGUCUUAUGUGGCUAUCGAGAACUGGAAAUGUGGCUCGUGCAACUGAGGAAGUGCAUUUUUGCUUUUCAUUUAAAUAGCACAUACGACGAGUGACUUGCUGUAUUGGACAGUGUGCUUCUGGAAGAUGGCAGAUGCCGACGUUUGGAGAAUCCUAGGCCUGAAUGUCUGGGUGGAGACGAGCAUAGCCCCUCCCCCACCGCUGCCCCCACCCCUUCCCCUGGCCUUGGACAGUGACGUGAGCAAGAAAUUAACAGCUCUUUGGAUUGGCGUGUGAGAGUUACUGUUUUACCAGCUGGGCUGCCAUGACUGAUACAGACCCAUGUCUUAGCAGCCACCUUUAUGAAGAAAGGACAAUUCAGUCUACUCAUCCAUUUUACAAGCUCAAGGAAUGCCGGGGGCCUCUGCUGAGAUCUAGUUUUCAACCUAGUCUGUGGCAUUGAUUAUCCUGCUUAGAAGAUGAAAGAGGUGGCUUUGUGGGCCAGAGAGUAAGUAGUUUUACUUAGCGGCUUGGCCGUACUGACCCCAGCUAUAAGCUAAGUAGGAAGGUUCGGUUCUGUUCAAAACUAAGUUCCGAUCGUUUUUUACAACUGCUUUAAACUGUACGUGUCCUGUUCACGAUAGAGAAAGGGCCAUCUGGUUUGAUGAUUUUUUGGCUUGAAGAAGAGAAAACGAAAGACAAGUAUAAGCUUUAAUACUCAAGAGAUCCGAUUCUCUGCCGGAGAGGAAAUGAACUCCAUAUCCAGGAGAAUUCCACCAGGAAGGGGCCGAACAGACCGUGCUCUCUGGAGGAUUCUCAGCAGUGCCGUGAACACCAUUCUGACACUCCUUUCGGUCAUUUCCAAGGUGAGACAGUGACACACCGCUGGAGUAGGACAGCUGAUCUCACCUUCUCUGGUAUCAUCAGAAAGAGGAUCUAGGAAGCUUCCGUGCAACGCCAGAAGGGCUAGGAUGGCGGGAGCCAUCUCAUCUGCUCUAUGUGCCUGCCCGUUUCUGGGAGAAGCACCUUGACACCUGUUUUACUGUAAAGAGAACCAACUUUGGAAUCAAACAGACCUCUACCAAAAUCUCAAGUCUGUCGCUUACUAACUUCGACAAAUCAUGUCACUUCUGUGAACAUUGUUUUCUUUCAUUUAGGGAUAAUACUAAACUGACGUCACAGAGCUGCCGCAAGGAUAAAAUGAACCGGUGUCUAUGGCAGCAUUUAGGACAGGGCUUCAUACAGAAUCGGUGUCUUGGAGAACUGAGGGUUUGGAGCAUAGAAUUCCAGUUCUGGUGCAUCAAGGAAGGCCUUCAGGGUGGUCCUGUGGAUGAGGAUGUGGGCUUAUGUGUUAAUUAAAACACUGCUUCUCAAA